rnacentral:rRNA from 1 species
UGAAUACGAGACGCUAAGGCGUCGAAGUAGUGUAUGUCAUACUUCCAAGAAAAGCUUGCACUGUCAUAGAUAAAAAACGCCUGUACCAUAACCGACACAGGUGGGUAGGUAGAGUAUACUAAGGGGCGCGAGAUAACUCUCUCUAAGGAACUCGGCAAAAUAACUCCGUAACUUCGGGAGAAGGAGUGCCUUAUUCGUAAGGUUGCAAUAACAAGAUCCAAGCAACUGUUUAUCAAAAACACAGGUCUCCGCUAAGUCGUAAGACGAUGUAUGGGGGCUGACGCCUGCCCAGUGCCAGAAGGUUAAAGAAGUUGGUUAGCAAUUGCGAAGCUGAUAACUGAAGCCCUGGUGAACGGCGGCCGUAACAAUAACGGUCCUAAGGUAGCGAAAUUCCUUGUCGGGUAAGUUCCGACCCGCACGAAAGGCGUAAUGAUUUGGAUACUGUCUCGGAGAGGGGCUCGGUGAAAUAGACUUGUCUGUGAAGAUGCGGACUACCUGCACCAGGACAGAAAGACCCUAUGAAGCUUUACUGUAACUUGAAAUUGAAAUUGGACUUUAUUCGCGCAGUAUAGGUGGGAGGCGUUGAUUAUAAUCUUGUGGGAUUAUUGGAGCCAUCAGUGAGAUACCACUCUUGUAAUGUUAGAUUUCUAACUUUGAAUCAUUAUCUGGUCAAAGAACAGUUUCAGGCGGGCAGUUUGACUGGGGCGGUCGCCUCCUAAACGGUAACGGAGGCGUACAAAGGUUUCCUCUGAACGGUUAGAAAUCGUAUCUAGAGUGUAAAGGCAUAAGGAAGCUUGACUGUAAGACCUACAAGUCGAGCAGGGACGAAAGUCGGUCUUAGUGAUCUGACGGUACUGAGUGGAAAGGCCGUCACUCAACGGAUAAAAGUUACUCUAAGGAUAACAGGCUGAUCUCCCCCAAGAGUUCACAUCGACGGGGAGGUUUGGCACCUCGAUGUCGGCUCAUCGCAUCCCGGGGCGGUAGUACGUCCCAAGGGUUGGGCUGUUCGCCCAUGAAAGCGGUACGCGAGCUGGGUUCAGAACGUCGUGAGACAGUUCGGUCCAUAUCCGGUGUAGGCGUUAGAAUAUUGAGAGGAGCCUUCUUUAGUACGAGAGGACCGAGAAGGACAUACCUCUGGUGUACCAGUUAUCGUGCCAACGGUAAACGCUGGGUAGCUAUGUAUGGAGUGGAUAACCGCUGAAAGCAUCUAAGUGGGAAGCCCACCUCAAGAUAAGUAUUCUCAUC